rnacentral:rRNA from 1 species
CAAGGAAUUUUGCGCAAUGGGGGAAACCCUGACGCAGCAACGCCGCGUGGGCGAAGAAGGCCUUCGGGUUGUAAAGCCCUUUUCUCGGGGAAGAUGAUGACGGUACCCGAGGAAUAAGUCUCGGCUAACUACGUGCCAGCAGCCGCGGUAAUACGUAGGAGGCAAGCGUUGUCCGGAUUUACUGGGCGUAAAGGGCUCGCAGGCGGUUCGCCAAGUCCGGUGUGAAAUCUCCCGGCUCAACUGGGAGGGUGCGCUGGAAACUGGCGAACUUGAGGGCAUCAGGGGAGAGUGGAAUUCCCGGUGUAGUGGUGAAAUGCGUAGAUAUCGGGAAGAACACCAGUGGCGAAGGCGGCUCUCUGGGGUGCAUCUGACGCUGAGGAGCGAAAGCGUGGGGAGCGAACCGGAUUAGAUACCCCCGUAGUCC